CCGGACGUCGAAGAGCCGGCCGCGGAUAGCCAGCGGUGCUGCCACCGCCGCCUUUAGGGGAUCGGCCCGCGGCGGUCCUUCGACGUCCGG
rnacentral:ncRNA from 1 species